GCUGAGCUGCAGGUACCUACAGUGUGGACAUGCGUCAUCUACCUGCGCUGCAGAGAAGGUGAUAGCACCUUAAACUCCGGGCCUGUUUUCGAGCUGUUUUUGAGGAAAUGUGGUGAAUGUAAACUUACUCUGUUUGGGGGGAAAAUUCUGGUAAGUGGUGCUGUCUUGAUUAAUUUUGUUUUUCAAUGACARUUUCAGAGAGAGAUUGCUUUA
rnacentral:lncRNA from 1 species